rnacentral:lncRNA from 1 species
UCUUGAGGGCAUUAAAUAAUCUGGAGUUAAGAGAACAUCAACACAAUGUGGUCUAACCAAAGAUUGUCAAAGGGGAGUUAGGUGGAAGAACAUACUGGAAGAACUGUACUUUUUAUUUUUUUAAAUUUAUUUUUAAAAAAGAUUUUAUUUAUUUAUUUGACAGAGAGAGAUCACAAAUAGGCAGAGAGGCAGGCAGAGAGAGAGGAGUAAGCAGGCUCCCUGCCGAGCAGAGAGCCCAACGUGGGACUUGAUCCCAAGACCCUGAGAUCAUGACCUGAGCUGAAGGCAGAGGCUUUAUUUAACCCACUGAGCCACCCAGACACCCAGUACUUUUUAUUUUUUAUUUUUAUCUUUUUUUUUUUAAAGAUUUUAUUUAUCAUUUAUUUGACAGAGAGAGGCACAGUGGGAGAGCGAACAUAGGCAGCGGGAGGGAGAGUGGGAGAAGCAGACUUUCUGCUGAGCAGGGAGCCUUUGUGGGGCUUGAUCCCAGGACCCUGGAAUCAUGACCUGAGCUGAAAUGAAGGCAGACGCUUAACGACUGAGCCACCCAGGCGCCCCAGAACUGUACUUUUUAAUUAAUUAAUUUAUUUAUUUACUUUAAUAUUUUGUUUAUUUAUUUGACAGAGAGGGAGAGAGAGAUCACAAGUAGGCAGAGAGAGAGGGAAACAGGCUCCCUGCUGAGCAAAGAGCCCGAUGCAGGGCUCGAUCCCAGGACCUUGAGAUCAUGACCUGAGCCAAAGGCAGAGGCUUAACCCAGUGAGGCACCCAGGUGCCCCAGAAUUGUACUUUUUAAAGUACAGGCAAAAGUGUUAGUGAGAUUUAUGGAAAUAGUAGAUAUGACUACUAGGGAAACAGAAUUGCUAACUCUUUUUUUUUCUUGUCAGAGAGCAACACCUUCUAAAACUACCUGUCCUCCAGUUAAAAGCACAGAAAUAAGUACAGGAAGGUACUACAUCCAAGAUUCUUGGCUGAGACCCCUCUGUAAUGAAAAGAUUAACAGGAGAAAAACAGAAGUUCAAUAACAUGUGUAUCUCCUGCAUAAAUGGGACAUACCCAGGAAAACUGAGCCACUCUCCCAAAUGGCCCAAGCCAUCACCUUAUACAGCUAAAGACAAGAGAAGAUGAUGGGGGUCGGUGCGCAGUUAUGGGAGGUUUCCAGGAAAGACUCAGUAAACAAGGGUAUAGCUGUUACACAGA